rnacentral:rRNA from 1 species
GACGUAGGGUGCAAGCGUUGUCCGGAAUUAUUGGGCGUAAAGAGCUUGUAGGCGGUUUGUCGCGUCUGCUGUGAAAUUUCGGGGCUCAACCCCGAACUUGCAGUGGGUACGGGCAGACUAGAGUGUGGUAGGGGAGACUGGAAUUCCUGGUGUAGCGGUGAAAUGCGCAGAUAUCGGGAGGAACACCAGUGGCGAAGGCGGCACUCUGGGCCGGUACUGACGCUGAGGAGCGAAAGCGUGGGGAGCGAACAGG